rnacentral:hammerhead_ribozyme from 1 species
AUCCAGCUGACGAGUCCCAAAUAGGAUGAAAGCGCGUUUCCUGUAU